UUGAACGCUGGCGGCAUGCUUUACACAUGCAAGUCGAACGGUAACAGGCCUUCGGGUGCUGACGAGUGGCGAACGGGUGAGUAAUGCAUCGGAACGUACCCAGAGGUGGGGGAUAACGCAGCGAAAGCUGUGCUAAUACCGCAUGUGAACUGAGGAUGAAAGCGGGGGAGCGAGCAGCAAUGUUUGGCCUCGCGCCUUUUGAGCGGCCGAUGUCGGAUUUGCUAGUUGGUGGGGUAAAGGCCGACCAAGGCGACGAUCCGUAGCUGGUCUGAGAGGACGACCAGCCACACUGGGACUGAGACACGGCCCAGCCUCCUACGGGAGGCAGCAGUGGGGAAUUUGGGACAAUGGGCGCAAGCCUGAUCCAGCAAUGCCGCGUGCGGGAAGAAGGCCUUCGGGUUGUAAACCGCUUUUGGCAGGAACGAAACGGUGUCCGCUAAUACCGGGCGCUAAUGACGGUACCUGCAGAAUAAGCACCGGCUAACUACGUG
rnacentral:rRNA from 1 species